GACAGAGGGUGCAAACGUUGUUCGGAAUUACUGGGCGUAAAGCGCGUGUAGGCUGCUUGGAAAGUCGGAUGUGAAAGCCCUGGGCUCAACCUAGGAAGUGCAUUCGAAACUUCUGAGCUUGAGUAUCGGAGAGGAAGGCGGAAUUCUCGGUGUAGAGGUGAAAUUCGUAGAUAUCGAGAGGAACACCGGUGGCGAAGGCGGCCUUCUGGACGAUUACUGACGCUGAGACGCGAAAGCGUGGGGAGCAAACAGG
rnacentral:rRNA from 2 species